rnacentral:rRNA from 1 species
GGUGAGUAACACGUGGGUAACCUGCCUCAAAGAGGGGGAUAGCCUCCCGAAAGGGAGAUUAAUACCGCAUAAUAAGUGCAGUUCGCAUGAACCGCACUUUAAAGGAGAAAUCCGCUUUGAGAUGGACCCGCGGCGCAUUAGCUAGUUGGUAAGGCAGCGGCUUACCAAGGCAACGAUGCGUAGCCGACCUGAGAGGGUGAACGGCCACAUUGGAACUGAGAGACGGUCCAGACUCCUACGGGAGGCAGCAGUGGGGAAUAUUGCACAAUGGGCGAAAGCCUGAUGCAGCAACGCCGCGUGAGUGAAGAAGGUUUUCGGAUUGUAAAGCUCUGUCAUCUGGGACGAUAAUGACGGUACCAGAUGAGGAAGCCACGGCUAACUACGUGCCAGCAGCCGCGGUAAUACGUAGGUGGCAAGCGUUGUCCGGAAUUACUGGGCGUAAAGGGUGCGCAGGCGGACAUUUAAGUGAGAUGUGAAAGACCCGGGCUUAACUUGGGCAGUGCAUUUCAAACUGGAUGUCUGGAGUGCAGGAGAGGAGAACGGAAUUCCUAGUGUAGCGGUGAAAUGCGUAGAGAUUAGGAAGAACACCAGUGGCGAANGCGGUUCUCUGGACUGUAACUGACGCUGAGGCACGAAAGCGUGGGUAGCAAGCAGGAUUAGAUACCCUGGUAGUCCACGCC